rnacentral:lncRNA from 10 species
CCGAUGAUUUAAGGGACGUGCCAGGAGCUGUUGGUGGUGCAAGGCUGGAGUGCAGUGGCCCGAUCUCAGCUCGCUGCAACCUCCGCCUCCCGGGUUCAAGCGAUUCUUCUGCCUCAGCCACCCAAGCCCAGAACAUGCCGAGCCGGAGGUCCAGGUGGUGCCGGGGUCUGGCCAGAUCAUCUUCCUGCCCUUCACCUGCAUUGGCUACACGGCCACCAAUCAGGACUUCAUCCAGCGCCUGAGCACACUGAUCCGGCAGGCCAUCGAGCGGCAGCUGCCUGCCUGGAUCGAGGCUGCCAACCAGCGGGAGGAGGGCCAGGGUGAACAGGGCGAGGAGGAGGAUGAGGAGGAGGAAGAAGAGGAGGACGUGGCUGAGAACCGCUACUUUGAAAUGGGGCCCCCAGACGUGGAGGAGGAGGAGGGAGGAGGCCAGGGGGAGGAAGAGGAGGAGGAAGAGGAGGAUGAAGAGGCCGAGGAGGAGCGCCUGGCUCUGGAAUGGGCCCUGGGCGCGGACGAGGACUUCCUGCUGGAGCACAUCCGCAUCCUCAAGGUGCUGUGGUGCUUCCUGAUCCAUGUGCAGGGCA